rnacentral:lncRNA from 1 species
GUGGGAGCUCAUAGCCAAAAGAAACACAUCUAGCACUCAAUUCAGCAUCAGCACACUCUCUUAUUAUACUCUAGCUUCUCUAGGCCUAUCUGAACUCCUUUUUGCCCUUACAAUCAUCAUCAAGCAUCCACACAUUCAAAUCAACCAACUCUCACAUUCAUUAAUCAAUAAACAUCAGGUGAAUUCUUGCAAAUGGUCAAUUGGAACAAAUCAUUUGGUUAGGUAAGGGAAGAAUUUUUUAUUAUUCGAGUGAGUCAAGAGGUUCGAGAUACAUGAUCUUUAAGGUGGUUCACUCUCAAGACAAGUAGCCUUGACAUUGCACAUAAUAUAUCUAAGAAAGAGAUCAACUCAUGCAUACAAUGCUCAAUCUCCAUUGUUCUACCCUUUUCCCAAACAUACAAGUUACACAAUCAUUUCCCAAUGUCAAACCCAACUCACAUCUCUCACCAAAAGAUCCUAAGAACAUUUUUCACAUAAAACUCUUUCUCUUUGAAAUCUACAAGGGAUUUUUUUUUCUCUUUUGUUUUUUUUUUUUAAUAUCAAAAACAUUUCUUAGCUCCUAACAACUUUGCUAGCCCCCUUUUUAUUUUCUUUUUCUCUUUUUUUUUCUUAUAUAUUUUUUGGGGCCAAGACUUUUCAUAAACUUGAGCUAGAUGUUUAUCUACUUAUCACAAUAAAACUAUUCACUUAAACACAAAGAGUCUAAUCUUUUCCUUCAAACUUUUCAUGCUCCCAAAUCAUAAUCACAUCACUCACGCCCACCUAUAGCUAGACAAUAGAGUGCCUAAUCUAGCAAGAAUGAAGAUCAAGCAUUGUCGUUCCCGAUACUCUCAACAUUAUGCACAUGUAAGACUUUCCGAAAAAUACCUCACUCAU